rnacentral:rRNA from 1 species
UACGGAGGGUGCAAGCGUUAUCCGGAUUUACUGGGUUUAAAGGGUGUGUAGGCGGACUUUUAAGUCAGGGGUGAAAUCCCUCGGCUCAACCAAGGAAGUGCAUCCGAAACUGCUGAGCUUGAGUACUUAAGAGGAUCGCGGAAUUCCCGGUGUAGCGGUGAAAUGCGUAGAUAUCGAGAGGAACACCUGCGGCGAAGGCGGGUUGCUGGGCUGACACUGACGCUGAUGCGCGAAAGCCAGGGGAGCGAACGGG